GGAGGGUGCAAACGUUGCUCGGAAUCAUUGGGCGUAAAGCGCACGUAGGCGGGUUCGUAAGUCAAAUGUGAAAGCCCUCGGCUCAACCGAGGAAGUGCAUUCGAAACUGCGAGCCUUGAGUACGGGAGAGGAUUGUGGAAUUCCCGGUGUAGAGGUGAAAUUCGUAGAUAUCGGGAGGAACAUCAGUGGCGAAGGCGACAAUCUGGACCGAUACUGACGCUGAGGUGCGAAAGCGUGGGGAGCAAACAGGGAUUAGAUACCCUGGUAGUCCACGCCGUAAACGAUGAGUGCUAGAUGCUGCGGGUAUUGACCCCUGCGGUGUCGAAGUUAACGCGAUAAGCACUCCGCCUGGGAGUACGGCCGCAAGGCUA
rnacentral:rRNA from 1 species